UACGAAGGGGGCUAGCGUUGCUCGGAAUUACUGGGCGUAAAGGGUGCGUAGGCGGGUCUUUAAGUCAGGGGUGAAAUCCUGGAGCUCAACUCCAGAACUGCCUUUGAUACUGAGGAUCUUGAGUUCGGGAGAGGUGAGUGGAACUGCGAGUGUAGAGGUGAAAUUCGUAGAUAUUCACAAGAACACCAGUGGCGAAGGCGGCUCACUGGCCCGAUACUGACGCUGAGGCACGAAAGCGUGGGGAGCAAACAGG
rnacentral:rRNA from 1 species